rnacentral:rRNA from 1 species
CACGUAGGCGGAUAUUUAAGUCAGGGGUGAAAUCCCAGAGCUCAACUCUGGAACUGCCUUCGAUACUGGCGGUCUUGAGUAUGGUAGAGGUUGGUGGAACUCCGAGUGUAGAGGUGAAAUUCGUAGAUAUUCGGAAGAACACCAGUGGCGAAGGCGGCCAACUGGACCAUUACUGACGCUGAGGUGCGAAAGCGUGGGGAGCAAACA